GUCCAGACUCCUACGGGAGGCAGCAGUGAGGAAUAUUGGUCAAUGGCCGUAAGGCUGAACCAGCCAAGUAGCGUGAGGGAAGACUGCCCUAUGGGUUGUAAACCUCUUUUAUGCGGGGAUAAAGGUGUCCACGUGUGGAUGUUUGCAGGUACCGCAUGAAUAAGGACCGGCUAAUUCCGUGCCAGCAGCCGCGGUAAUACGGAAGGUCCGGGCGUUAUCCGGAUUUAUUGGGUUUAAAGGGUGCGUAGGCGGACUGUUAAGUCAGGGGUAAAGGCCGGGGGCCCACCCCCGGCGAGCCGUUGAAACUGGCUGUCUUGAGAUGUCGAGAGGUAUGCGGAAUGCGCAGUGUAGCGGUGAAAUGCUUAGAUAUUGCGCAGAACUCCGAUUGCGAAGGCAGCAUACCGGCGGCGAUCUGACGCUGAGGCACGAAAGCGUGGGUAUCGAACAGGAUUAGAUACCCGAGUA
rnacentral:rRNA from 1 species